UUGCUUUGGCAGCACAUAUACUAAAAAAGUUGGAACCAUACAGAGAAGAUUAGCAUGGCCCCUGUGCAAGGAUGACACACAAAUUCAUGAAGCAUUCCAUAUUUUU
rnacentral:snRNA from 1 species